rnacentral:tRNA from 1 species
GGGGCCAUAGCUCAGUUGGGAGAGCGUCUGAAUGGCAUUCAGAAGGUCGGGGGUUCGACUCCCCCUGGCUCCACAA